AAAUGACUCUCGGCAACGGAUAUCUCGGCUCUUGCAUCGAUGAAGAACGUAGCAAAAUGCGAUACGUGGUGUGAAUUGCAGAAUUCUGUGAACCAUCGAGUUUUUGAACGCAAGUUGCGCCCAAUGUCAUUUGGCUGAGGGCACGUCUGCCUGGGCGUCACGC
rnacentral:rRNA from 7 species